rnacentral:rRNA from 1 species
GUCCACGCCGUAAACGAUGUCGACUAGCCGUUGGGAGUCUUGAACUCUUAGUGGCGCAGCUAACGCAUUAAGUCGACCGCCUGGGGAGUACGGCCGCAAGGUUAAAACUCAAAUGAAUUGACGGGGCCCGCACAAGCGGUGGAGCAUGUGGUUUAAUUCGAAGCAACGCGAAGAACCUUACCAGGCCUUGACAUCCUAUGAACUUUCCAGAGAUGGAUUGGUGCCUUCGGGAGCAUAGAGACAGGUGCUGCAUGGCUGUCGU